rnacentral:rRNA from 1 species
CACGCUGUAAACGAUGAGUGCUGGGUGUCUUGGGUAUUGACCCCCGAGGCGCCGUAGCUAACGCGUUAAGCACUCCGCCUGGGGAGUACGGUCGCAAGACUAAAACUCAAAGGAAUUGACGGGGGCCCGCACAAGCGGUGGAGCAUGUGGUUUAAUUCGACGCAACGCGCAGAACCUUACCAGGGCUAGAAAAGGUAGGAACCCGGGAGAAACCUCGGGGUGCUCGCAAGAGAGCCUACAUCCAGGUGC